rnacentral:rRNA from 1 species
GAUGAACGCUGGCGGCGUGCCUAAUACAUGCAAGUCGAGCGAACAGACGAGGAGCUUGCUCCUCUGACGUUAGCGGCGGACGGGUGAGUAACACGUGGAUAACCUACCUAUAAGACUGGGAUAACUUCGGGAAACCGGAGCUAAUACCGGAUAAUAUAUUGAACCGCAUGGUUCAAUAGUGAAAGACGGUUUUGCUGUCACUUAUAGAUGGAUCCGCGCCGCAUUAGCUAGUUGGUAAGGUAACGGCUUACCAAGGCAACGAUGCGUAGCCGACCUGAGAGGGUGGCGGCCCACACGAGAGCAGGAACCGGCACCAGCCCCCUGCGGGAGGAGCCAGAAGGGAAUUUUCCGCAGGGGGCGAAAACUGGCCGGACCAACGCGGAGUGAGGGAGAAAGGUCUCGGUAUCUAAAACCUGUUUUAUGGGAAAAAAAAAAAUUUGUAAGAAACUACACACGUCUUGACGGUACCUAAUAAAAAAGCCCCGGCUAACUACGUG